CGGUUAAGUUAGAAAGGGCGCACGGUGGAUGCCUUGGCACUAGGAGCCGAUGAAGGACGGGACGAACACCGAUAUGCUUCGGGGAGCUGUAAGCAAGCUUUGAUCCGGAGAUUUCCGAAUGGGGAAACCCACUGCUCGUAAUGGAGCAGUAUCCAUAUCUGAAUUCAUAGGAUAUGAGAAGGCAGACCCGGGGAACUGAAACA
rnacentral:rRNA from 1 species